rnacentral:siRNA from 1 species
GUAGUUAGAAAUGCAGGCGGCCUG